CAGUGAGCACGUGCUCGCUGCUGCCCAAUGAGAAGCCCCCUUGUCGGUCACAACCUCGUGCUUCUGGUUCAGGUGCUUUCAUCAGAACAGAAGCAGUCACGUGACAAACGUCGUGAAAUUGUGGCUAUCCCGAGGAAGAAGUGCUGGUCGCCUGCCCGCCGGGAACAAUCAGGCACUGUCUGUGGAGCCGUGUUUCUUCUGUGUUAUAAUCUUGCACCUGGCUGACUCUGUUGGGAAAGUUGGGCCAAAUAUCCUCUACUUUUUCUGGGCCUGAGAUGGCUGAUCCCUUGAGCAGGAGGAUUACUUCUAAGAUGAUCAACUUUCUAAGCCGUAAUCACAGUCAAGAUCUCCUUACUUGAGGCCCCACACACACCUGGAGUUCUGUGUUUCCUACGCCAUGGAUUAAAGAACAGAGGGCUGUGCCCUGGAGUCCAGGCAGGAGCGAGGCGUUCCUCCAGCUUCUUUCCGAAGCAUUCAAACUUUAAUUUCUGUCUUGCCUGGACUGCUCUUAUCAAUCAAGAGGAAACACGCCUGGAAAAUAGUGGGGGGGCUUGACUGACUUCUGGUGACUGCGCAACCCCAAAGGCAGACACAGACUCGGGAGCAUGCUACCGAUGUUGGGACUUGUCUUAGCCUCUUCCUGCUCGACUUCCUCCUGCCUCUAACCACAGGAACUGCUUCUCAAGGUUGAUAAGAGGGUCAAAGGAGGCAGUGCACAGGGAAGCGUUAGGCCAUGGUCCCGUAAACGCUGCUGUUGGCAGAAGGGCAGGGAGGAGACGUUGUCUUCGUGAUUACUGGCACCGGCUCUUUCCACUGAGAGCACAAAUGUAGAAAUCUUCAAGCAGUUUAAUUGGGACAUUUGUUUUGAAAGACCUAAGUUGGCAGAGGCCGGAGACUGCCGAAGUUAGGAAACUGGUUCCUAUUUAAGCAAGUAAUUUGAAGUCACCAGUCCAGUCAGACUCUGAACUUGAAUAAAAGCUCUGUCAAGAUGUCCUGAAUACAGACCGCAGGAGGUCUGUAUAGUAUCAGCACAGUAUCAGCUCUACCAGUAAAUCUGACCAGUGACUUCCUUACGGUGCCUGACGGGGUUAAAGGGCAUCCUUCCAUUUGAGGUUAGGUAGAUUUCAUAAUACCUUCCAAGAGACAAGGCCACUAAAUUAUGCAUAGAGGUGGCUGCACUGAGGAACUGAGAGCAUCCUGAGGAUAGAGAACAGCUCUGAGGGCAUAGGCAUACAAAGAAAUGGGUAAGCUGGGGCUCCUCAUAUGUAUGUGUCACACACACACACACACACACACACACACACACACACACACACACACACACACACAAUCUCCACCUUAGGUUUGCUGAUGCCAGGUCCAGUGCUAUUCCGGUGACCCUGGACCACAGGGUUUCAGCAUUGUCUUGUCACAAACCAGGGCUGAGAUCUGCGAGCUUCCUCUGAAUACCGAGAACAUCUGAGAGCGGCAUUAUUUCUAACUGGCCAGCAGGUGGCAGAGCAAACCUUGUUCCCAAAUCCACCCGCAGGUUUUCAAGUUCACUUCAAAAGUAACUGCUGAAAAUUUCAAUCAGGCCAAAUAUAUUUAGCAGCCAAUGUUCCGUUAAAAUAUCACUAAUCAUAGUACUUAAUAUGAAGUCAACUCAAUUCUGACUAUUACGUUACUGAAUUGUAUUUUUUUCCCUCCCUUAGUAAUCCAAUACAGCUGUAAAGUUUUGGGAUCUUGUUUUUGUUUUCAAAUUCCAUUUUCUUCUCACCAUGCUAGUUAGUUGGAAAGAAAUGCUGGCCUUUUAUCCACUGUGAUUCAUUUUGCACUAAGCAGGUCUGUCUCCAGAGCUGGCUGUGGAUGACUAAGUGCAGGAACAUCUAUUGGAAUGAUACUGAGCCGGGCGGCGUUGGCGUUGGCAGCACACGCCUUUUAAUCCCAGCACUUGAGAGGCAGAGGCAGGCGGAUCUCUGUGAGUUCGAGGGCAGCCUGGGCUACAGCA